CAUAGUUUCUUUACUAUGUCUGGAGUAAUUAAAACAAAACACCCAGAAUGCAUCUAGAACUCUACUGACAAUGUCAGCCAGGUUAAAAAUAUCUUUUUCAUAAUCUCUCUUUUUCUUUCAAAGGUAUUAAAGCAUUCUGUCUGCCCACACAUUCUGUAACUUGUGCAGCCCUUACAGGGAUUAGGGUUAGAUUUCUAUGGUUUGACCCUGUUCCUUACCUCUCUGCAGAAAUGGGGCCGUGAGUGAGAAGAGUCACUGGUAUUGCAAGAUGUAGAGAGUAUCUAAAGACUUCUCAUUUCUGAAUAGCUCUACCUCUGAUCAUGCCUGAAAUUCCAUUACAAAUCUAUUUCUUGAAAGUGUGUUUUAAUUUGUGGGGGCUGAAAGGAUACUGAACACUAGUGACCAAGGACUCUCAAAUGCUAUGACUGAGAAGGCAGUAAAGCAAGGACUCUCCCUCAGAAGGAAGCCAUGGAUGUUCUGACACCCCAGGACAAUGCACCUGAGUAGGACCGUGGUGGGCGAAGGGAAAAUGCCUGACACCUGGUAUCUACCCCUCAGGAUGGACUGAUGUUUGCUGAUGCUUUUCCCUGGGGAACAGUCUCCCGCACUUCCAUGGUGGAAUGAAAAACUUGGCCUGAGGUUUUAGCCAUCGUGAACAGAUAUGUUGAAUCACCUAAAUCUACAGAUUCAUUACAAGUGCCACUUCAUAUUCAGAGAGAGUGAUUUUUUUUCUCCCUUUAUGUGGACCCCUCUGGGAUGUCUCCAGCGGAGCAAGAGCCAGACCUACCUUGUUCAUAGUUUUCUUCAUAUGAAAUGCGUUGCUUAGCACCUUGUAGGAGCUUCAUUGUAUAUAUGUGGAAUCACUGAAUCAACAUAAAAGGAAGGAUAAAACUUUGGCGUUGAUAAAAGAAGAGCAACAGCAAAUCCCACCCCCGCCAUUUACUGGCCUGUUAACUUCUCUCUGCCUGAAUUUCCUCAACUGCUAAAUGGGAAGGAUCGUGAUAAUCACAGCAUGUACCUCGCGAUACCUUGAUUUCUCGGGCUGUGCUUCCUGCAACAUGGAGGGUCUGUAACAGCACAGUGCUCAUGAGGGAACUUCAGCCAUGUCUGUCUUGGGCCAUCGCACAGAUGAUUCCUGCAUUUGGGAGCACUUCUUGAGCCAAGCCAUAUGCUCAGCAUCACGGGAGCUUCAUGUGUUCCGUCUGGAGCACUGGGAAUAAUGAGAUCCUGAACCACAAAGGGCAGAGUCCCUGGAAAGCAGCCAUACUUGGUGGAGUGCUCUGUGCUAAUCCUCACAAACAAUGAUAUGUACAAGUGAAUGCCGUGUUCCACUGAGGUCUCACAUCCUCCCAUCCCCCACCAUGGAGCAGGAAGCCUGUUGGUGCUACUUUUAAAAGGGUGCAUUAUUUUUGUGUGUGUUCACAGGAACCUGCCUGGUGAUUAUAUUUUAGAACAAUUUGCACAUUUUCUAGGAAAGAAAAAAAUUGGUGUAGUGUUUUGCAAAGCUCUUAGGAAAGAGAAAUCUCAGUGUUUCCCAUUAGAAUCACCUUUCACUAGGCUGUGUGGCAUCCUUUGCAGGUGAAUCACCCAGGGCAGUUUUGGUGGUGCACACAACAGGACUGAAGGGGUAAAAGGCAAUCAGAACUCUGAACGGUGGAGGUUUACCUUUUCUGUCUUCUAGAGAUACGGGGUAUUGAUCUAGUUCUGCUGCAAAGCUCUUUGCUUUAUCACUGAAUUUUAAACAGAAAGCAUCUUGAAGUGCAGAGGCUGGCGAAUUACUAGGAGCAGAGGUAUUUUCGCAAACAUCAAGGAUAGGCAGGCUUUGGAGUUUGCAAUGGCAGGGCCCACAGCUACAUCACUGUAUUUUCUAAUGUUAGUGCUUUUUUUUUUUUUUUAAAUGGGAAACUGCAUUGGUUGAUAGAUUAUAAACUGCCUCUCCCACCUAUUUACCCCACUUCUCUUGACUUUUCUACUUCUCCAUUCCAAUCUCUGGUACUUGUGACUUACUUAAUGUGUUCCUUUCUGGAGACUCUGGGGAAUAAUCUCUUUCCUUGACUUUCCCAGCUCUUAGAGACUGCCCACAUUCCUGGACUUGUGGCCCUCUCCUUCAUUUUCUUUUCUUUUUUUUAAAUUAAUUUUUAAUGUUUAUUUAUUUUUGCAAGUGGGGGAAGGGCAGAGAGA